ACGCUCCAGGGACCGAUCGUCCACACCCAACCUGCAGCAAACACAGCACAAGACAACCAGAAAAAUCCCUUUAGACCUCUUUGCAGCACCUCAGCACAGCAGAGGCCCAGCAGGGCAGAAACCGGGCCGAGCUGAUCCACAACAGUGAUUGACUCUCCAAUCUUAAGAAGGUCAAAUACUUUGGUGGCCUGACUGACUCUAUUCAAGAUUACUUGCCACUCAAGGAGAGGAAGCAGAGGUGGAGUGGAUGUGACGUUCCAGGGGGAUGUUAGAGCGGGGAAGAAAACCUGCAAGAGGUCACUGGAGGCAUCCUCAUCAUCUUCCUUGCUGAGCAACAGUCCUGCCUUCCAGCC